rnacentral:misc_RNA from 1 species
UCGAACCCUGCAACGCAGAACGACCUGUGAACAUGUAACAACAACGGGGUGAUGGGGAAAUGGGCCUUGGUCUUGAUCCCCUAAACCCUCCCAACGUGCAUUAGUGGUGCCUACUUUUGGGGAACCAUGGAUGUCUCGUUGGACUAUAACCAACCCCGGCACGGAAUGUGCCAAGGAAAACAAAAUGAG